GCCACCCUAGCUCAAUCGGCAGAGCAGACGCUUCGUAAGCGCCCGGUUUCCAGUUCAAGUCUGGAGGGUGGCU
rnacentral:tRNA from 1 species